rnacentral:tRNA from 1 species
GGAGCCGUGGUGUAGCGGUUCAACAUGUCGGCCUGUCACGCCGAAGAUCGCGGGUUCGAAUCCCGUCGGCUCCG